rnacentral:lncRNA from 1 species
CCGAGACAGACAAUUUCUGCUAUCGUGCACUGUUUCGCUGGUUCAAGUUCCAGGGAGCGUCAACUCGCAACUGCUGGUGCUACCCCUUCUGGGUAAAGACCGAAGCCAAUUCCGCCUGGUACUCCUACCACGAAUACUACUCGGAGGCCUGUACUUGCUCGCGUGAGCUCUCAAUCAAACUUUUCCUCAAGCCGGUCUGUCUCCGAGCAGCAAUAUUAUAAUGGAAAGAAGACCCGGAUGUGGAUUGGGAGCUACUCCUCUGUGCAAUGAGCCGCCUCCAAAUUACUGUACCUUCUGUUCGUGCACAGCCACGCUCCUCCCUGUUGUCUUCACUGUCGCCAUGGCCCCGUCACUGCUGGGUUCCGAGCCGCCGCGCUCUACUUCGUGCGCUGCCUUGAGUCGCUGCUGCCGUUUCAAAUCGCCACUCAGCCCUGUUGAGCCGCCAUGCUCCGCCAUGGCCAAGCUGCCAUUACCGUUGCCGCUCGCCUCUGCCAUCGCGCCAAGUCGUCGGCUGUCGAUGUAGCCGCAACCAUGCUCAGAUUCGACUCUGCUGCUUCACCACUCAACUGCCUACUUGGCUCCGCCUUGCGCUGUCUGCGCCCCCGACUUGGUCGCGCUUCUGCAACCCGCCAUGUCGAUCUGCCCUUUGGUUCCUGCCUCGUUGCUCACCUCCACGACCUCUGUCAGGACCCACCGCCACUGUACCCAGCAUGUUGCCUUGACCCCCGCUUCUGUGUUACGCAUCCACCGGGUUGUGGUCAUUGUGAGCCACCGGGGUUGAGCCGUCCUACGAUCCGCCGAGUCCGAGUUGAAAGAAAUUUCGACUACGUCAUUACAAGUCCCAAGGAAUUCCAUAGCGACGAUGGCAGGCAAAACCGAAAAGCGUUUUGUUGUUGCUACUUUUUAUGGGAAGACAAGGGUCAACCAUCAUACCAGAAGAAAGUACUAGUCAAAGCUCAAUCAACCACGGGCUGAUGUCAUCGGCCGCCCGUGCUGCUGUUCCAAGCCAAGCUGCUACUCCACGCCACGUGAUCACCGUUCAUACACCCAGAAAAAAAAUUGUUGACGAGACGGAAUCAGAUUUGGCCACGACCCGGAAGACGCGGAUGUGAAUCCAUCCAAAACCAACCAUGACCCGUGGCUGGCCUCGUUCCACCUCCGGUUCGAAUCCGACUCCGCCGCUACCUCCAACGCCGGCCUCCGCUGGAACCACGGACAUGCUGUUCAGCAUGGACCUGACGGCCCUGUCCGUAUCCACUCUGAGCCGCCCCCGAUGACUGGCCAUGUCCGAGCUCGCGCUCACUUCAAGUCGCGAUGGUUUCGUGUUGCUCCUCCGUUUAGCCGCCGUCGCGCCCUCCACCGGCAACUGCGUCAGUCGCCUUCCGCGCUGCGGCCACAACCAUGACCUUCGCCUGCGGCGCCCCCUUGGAUUCCGCUCUGAGCACCUCCGCUUCCGCCGUCAGGCGUCGAGUCAGGGCCUCAGCCCGUGAGCCGCUGCCGGCCUAUGCUCACCUCUGCCUCAUACGGUUCGCAACCCGUUUGGUCGGAUCAGCCGUCGCUUUUCCCGGCCUCGAGCCGCCUCGUUCCACUGCUGUGAUCUGCCCCUGCCUUGGAGCCUCUCCGGGUUAAGGCGUCAAGUCGCCGAGCCUUCCGCCCCUUCCGCCGCAUGCCCGCAGCGCUCUCUGCUGUGUCAAGUCGUAGGGUUACCUCCGCGCCAAAUCACCGUUGCGGACGCCUCAAUUACCAAAUAUUCGGGUUAAUUGCUAUGGCCUCCGCGCUGCCUCCAAGUCGCUCGGAUCCACCUCCCGCUCCUCAGCUGCCGCACUCCAAGCUGGCCACGGUUGCCUCUGGGUUGCCCGAGAAUCGACCCGCCGUCAUCAUCGCGAGUCGCCAUCACCGACCCGAGCGACUUCUCAUCCACUGUCGCGGCUCCGCCACGGCCGUUCCGAGCUGCCGCCUCGCUUUCGAAGGUGCUUGAUUCCCCACAUGCCUCCGGGCUGGCCCGCCCCUCCGCCGCAGACUCACCGGGGCCCUCCGAGCCGCCAGCAGCUUCCGCUCAACCUCGCCUCGGUCUUGUGCGUCGGUUCAGCCGAGCCGCCGUCACGGCCCUUUGCCGGUUCAAGUUACUGCCGCGACAGCCCGCGCCCCCGCCUCGCUGUCGAGUCGCCUCCGCGGCGCUAAGUCGCCGCUCUGGCCAAGUUACUGCCCGCCUUCGACCCGGCCGCCUCCGAGUCACCACUGGCUUGAGCCGCGCGGGCCAAACCGGCCUCCCCCGUCGCCGUUGUGCCGUGGCUGUUUUUUUUUUGGGCGCCCAGUAGCAGCCCCAGCCUCCUCCGGUCCGGUUCACCCUGCAUGAAGCUGUGCCCGCUCACCUGAGCCGCCCCUGCCAGCCCUGUCGUUUCUCCUCAAGCCGGUGGCUACCUUUGAAGACGCGAGACCGUGCUGCCUCAAGCCGCCUCCGCAGAUGCUUUCACCGCCGCACCAAGCCGCCUCGCGGCACUUCGGCUCUUUGCUUUGCCUGAGGUCGACCUCCUCCUUCGCUGUCGCAUGAGCCGCCUCAUCUCUGCUUUGUCUGCAGUAAUACAGAGUUAGGCAAAAGAGACAAGUCAAAGUGGGCAAAGUGCUGGAAAAAAAUGACCCGAAGGGUCCUUCUCAGCCGCCCGGUCCAGCGCUUUAAGCCGUCACCUCUGUCAUCAUUGCUGCAACCCUACGGCUGAUAAUUUUCGAUCAAACAUAUCAGGUGAAAUCCAUCUUGUCAAGUUUCUGUUGAUACAUUUUUUCGAGAACAAUUACUCUCGUUUGUGCAAAAUCUUAUGCAGAAUUCAUAAUGGCAA